GAUGAACGCUGGCGGCGUGCCUAACACAUGCAAGUCGAGCGAUUCUCUUCGGAGAAGAGCGGCGGACGGGUGAGUAACGCGUGGGUAACCUGCCCUGUACACACGGAUAACAUACCGAAAGGUGUGCUAAUACGAGAUAAUAUGCUUUUAUCGCAUGGUAGAAGUAUCAAAGCUUUUGCGGUACAGGAUGGACCCGCGUCUGAUGAGCUAGUUGGUAAGGUAACGGCUUACCAAGGCGACGAUCAGUAGCCGACCUGAGAGGGUGAUCGGCCACAUUGGAACUGAGACACGGUCCAAACUCCUACGGGAGGCAGCAGUGGGGAAUAUUGCACAAUGGGCGAAAGCCUGAUGCAGCGACGCCGCGUGAGCGAUGAAGGCCUUCGGGUCGUAAAGCUCUGUCCUCAAGGAAGAUAAUGACGGUACUUGAGGAGGAAGCCCCGGCUAACUACGUGCCAGCAGCCGCAGUAACAC
rnacentral:rRNA from 1 species